AGUGAACGCUGGCGGUAGGCCUAACACAUGCAAGUCGAACGGCAGCACAGUAAUAGCUUGCUCUUACGGGGGGCGAGUGGCGGAUGGGAGAGGAAUACAUCGGACUCUACUUUUUCGUGGGGGUUAACGAAGGGAAAUUUUCGUGAAUACCGCCUUCCUCCAGCGGGUGAAGGCAGGGGAUCUUCUGCCCUUGCGCGAGUGAACGAGCCGAAGCCGCAUUAGCGUGUGGGGGGGGUAAAGGCCCACCAAGGCGAAGAGCCGUAGCUGGAGUGAGAGGGUGGUCAGCCAGAGUGGAAGGAAGACACGAUCCAGACUCCUACGGGAGGCAGCAGUGGAGGAUAUUGGACAAUGGGGGAAAGCCUACUCCAGCCAUACCGCGUAGGUAGCGAAGGCGUUCGGGUUGUAAAGGCCUUUUGGUGGGAAAGAAAAGCAGGAGAUUACUACGCCGCUGUUCUGACGGUACCCGAAGAAUAAGCACCGGCUAACUUCGUG
rnacentral:rRNA from 1 species